GUUGGAGUCGGGGUCGGUUGUAUUGUCUCAACAGUUGCCCCCCACUCCCAAGUUUAAGGUCGCUUGAUGUGUAUUACAUCACGUGGCUUGUCAUGUUGGACGAAGAAAGUUGCCACAUGUCACCUCAAGCUCCGACUUGACUAUUAGUCAUUUGAGUACGAGGGUUCUUCGAUCGUUUUAUCAUUUCGAUGGCUGUAAAAUCAUUAUUAGGCUGUUACAUCGAUAGAAUAAUUCGGUACCAGACAUCUGUAUCGGAUGUCAUUUCAAGAAGAUAUUUUGGCACCGAACGAUAUGAUUCUGACUAGUAGAUUUUGGUCACGUGUCCGAAUGUCACU
rnacentral:lncRNA from 1 species